GAACAUGCUGCUAUUGCUUUGCAGUAUUUCAUUGGAGUUCGGGCUGAAACAGCUCUCCAUUGUCUUUUGCAUUGGAUCUGCAGCUAUCAAACUCUCUUUACAAAAGUUUGCAGCAAGUGUGGACGGCUGCUAGCAAUGGACCAGAAAUCAGCUCUACUGUUAGCUCCAGUUUAUCGUCCUUACCGGCAAUUCAACACAUCGAAUGUAUCAUUGAGUUUGAAUGUUUCCGGAGCUUACCAUGUAGGCUGUUUCUCAGAGGAAUUAUGAUCUUGACUAUGACAGGUAAAAACUAUCCAUUGUCUCAGAUAUCAAAUUGGCAAGAUAAAGAAAUUAUAACACAUCAUUCAAAGAACUCGCACUAGAAUGUUGAAUUUUACGUCUUUUCUUAAUUUUCUUGAUAGCUAAUGGGACAUGAACUUUUCUUUUAUGUUAUGUUUGUAUUAUUUAAGGGAGAUGGUUAUAAUCAAAUUAUCUGCACCAUAAUCUAAAAUAAUUUGCUAGAUCAUAAGUUUUCAAAUUUUUAGUGCUAUCCGAGUGCACAAAUCAUCUUAUAUAUAUGCGUUGUUUGCAAACUAUGAAAUCACUUUAAAUGGAUUUUGUAGUGAUAUGCAAACUGUUUCUGGUGAUCCCAAAGCAAACAUAGAGCGUGACAAAUUGGUGAUGUAGGAAAAAAAGCGAAGGUAAAACCGUAUAAGAGAUAAGAGAGAAGGAAAAGGAACUAGAAUUGGGAAAGGUUUUUUUUUUUUUUUUUUGGUAAAAGGAUAGAUUCAAAGAACAUAGAGGCACAAGGCCAAACAACACGCAGAGAAACAACUUCCGCAACCCCAGAAGAUACAGACACAGAUAAAUAGGAUCAAGAAAGACACCACCUCAACAGGUACCAUCGUCGCCCUAUUACCAGUGCAACCCAUCCCCAAUUACAAAGGAGGACAGGGAAGACCAUCUUUGUUCAAAAUGCCAACUAGCGAAGAUGGAGGUUGAACAACCCAGCCAAAGCUGCACAUCUCUGGUGAAAUAUUCCUUGCGACAAAAUCCGCCGCCAUAUUUGUCGAUCAUGGAAUCCACGACCAUGAGCAUGAAUGAAAACUCCUCCCAAUAUCCAAGAUACGGCUAAGAAUUGGGAGAAGGUCCGAAUUGGGAAAGGUGCUAUUCUCUUUUGUCGGCACAAGUCUAAGUUGUGCUAUGGCUAAAAUUAUUAUAACUUAUGGCCCGGAUCCUCGGACUUGGUGGAUUUGGCGGCAGGGAUCUGAAGAUGAUCCCUUUCCCAGGAGCUUUUUCGAGAAGAAAAACAAAAUCUUUGUUGUAAUUCCAUAUUAGGUUAAAAGGAAAUUUGAUGUAGCAGUUGUGGGAUUCAUUGUUCGGCUCAUAGCAUGUAAACCUUAUACACGGUGGAGUUGCCGGUACUUGCGCUGUUUUAUGAUCGUUUUGAGUGCAAUGCAUGAAGCGCCCAUGGCUCUAGCGUGAUUGCGGUUUGACA